AUUGAACGCUGGCGGCAGGCCUAACACAUGCAAGUCGAGCGGGGUUUUCGGACCUAGCGGCGGACGGGUGAGUAAUGCGUAGGAAGCUGCCCGAUAGAGGGGGAUACCAGUUGGAAACGACUGUUAAUACCGCAUAAUGUCUACGGACCAAAGUGUGGGACCUUCGGGCCACAUGCUAUCGAAUGCGCCUACGUGGGAUUAGCUAGUUGGUGAGGUAGUGGCUCACCAAGGCGACGAUCUCUAGCUGGUUUGAGAGGAUGAUCAGCCACACUGGAACUGAGACACGGUCCAGACUCCUACGGGAGGCAGCAGUGGAAUAUUGGACAAUGGGCGCAAGCCUGAUCCAGCCAUGCCGCGUGUGUGAAGAAGGCCUUCGGGUUGUAAAGCACUUUCAGCGAGGAGGAAGGGGUGUGUGUUAAUAGUACACACCUUUGACGCUACUCGCAGAAGAAGCACCGGCUAACUCUGUGCCAGCCGCCGCGGUAAUAC
rnacentral:rRNA from 1 species